AGAGUUUGAUCCUGGCUCAGGAUGAACGCUGGCGGCGUGCCUAAUACAUGCAAGUCGAGCGAACAGACGAGGAGCUUGCUCCUCUGACGUUAGCGGCGGACGGGUGAGUAACACGUGGAUAACCUACCUAUAAGACUGGGAUAACUUCGGGAAACCGGAGCUAAUACCGGAUAAUAUAUUGAACCGCAUGGUUCAAUAGUGAAAGACGGUUUUGCUGUCACUUAUAGAUGGAUCCGCGCCGCAUUAGCUAGUUGGUAAGGUAACGGCUUACCAAGGCAACGAUGCGUAGCCGACCUGAGAGGGUGAUCGGCCACACUGGAACUGAGACACGGUCCAGACUCCUACGGGAGGCAGCAGUAGGGAAUCUUCCGCAAUGGGCGAAAGCCUGACGGAGCAACGCCGCGUGAGUGAUGAAGGUCUUCGGAUCGUAAAACUCUGUUAUUAGGGAAGAACAAAUGUGUAAGUAACUAUGCACGUCUUGACGGUACCUAAUCAGAAAGCCACGGCUAACUACGUGCCAGCAGCCGCGGUAAUACGUAGGUGGCAAGCGUUAUCCGGAAUUAUUGGGCGUAAAGCGCGCGUAGGCGGUUUUUUAAGUCUGAUGUGAAAGCCCACGGCUCAACCGUGGAGGGUCAUUGGAAACUGGAAAACUUGAGUGCAGAAGAGGAAAGUGGAAUUCCAUGUGUAGCGGUGAAAUGCGCAGAGAUAUGGAGGAACACCAGUGGCGAAGGCGACUUUCUGGUCUGUAACUGACGCUGAUGUGCGAAAGCGUGGGGAUCAAACAGGAUUAGAUACCCUGGUAGUCCACGCCGUAAACGAUGAGUGCUAAGUGUUAGGGGGUUUCCGCCCCUUAGUGCUGCAGCUAACGCAUUAAGCACUCCGCCUGGGGAGUACGACCGCAAGGUUGAAACUCAAAGGAAUUGACG
rnacentral:rRNA from 1 species